rnacentral:rRNA from 1 species
AACGAACGCUGGCGGCAGGCUUAACACAUGCAAGUCGAACGCCCCGCAAGGGGAGUGGCAGACGGGUGAGUAACGCGUGGGAAUCUACCCAGUUCUACGGAACAACUGAGGGAAACUUCAGCUAAUACCGUAUACGCCCUACGGGGGAAAGAUUUAUCGGAAUUGGAUGAGCCCGCGUUAGAUUAGCUAGUUGGUGGGGUAAUGGCCUACCAAGGCGACGAUCUAUAGCUGGUCUGAGAGGAUGAUCAGCCACACUGGGACUGAGACACGGCCCAGACUCCUACGGGAGGCAGCAGUGGGGAAUAUUGGACAAUGGGCGCAAGCCUGAUCCAGCCAUGCCGCGUGAGUGAUGAAGGCCUUAGGGUUGUAAAGCUCUUUCAGUGGGGACGAUAAUGACGGUACCCACAGAAGAAGCCCCGGCUAACUUCGUGCCAGCCGCCGCGGUAAAAC